rnacentral:lncRNA from 1 species
GGGGGGGGGGGGGGGGGGGGGGGGGGGGGGGGGGGGGGGGGGGGGGGGGGGGGGGGGGGGGGGGGGGGGGGGGGGGGGGCCGCCGCCGCCCGUCGCUGAUUGGCUGGCGGGGGGGCACGUGACAGUUCCGCCGCCAAGCGGCCGCUGAUUGGUUGUCACGGAGGCAGCGGCUCCUCCCGCGCGCCCCUUCCCGCCGCGGGGGCGGCACCCGGCGCUGAUUGGUGGAGCGGAGUCACGUGACAGCUCCUGCUCCCUCACGCCGGCCGGCCGGCCGGCGCCAUAUUGGAGGGGCGGUGUUUCCUCUUGAGGCGCGGCCGAACUUUGACUCGGUACCGGCCCCGCACCGGCCGUGAGGGGCACCGGCUCUUCGGCACCUGCCCCGGGCGGGCCAACAGAGCUCAUGGCCACCCCUCAGCGCCGUCAGGGCUUCCAGGACCCAGCCACUGUCCUGCCCUGGGGCCAGGAUGGAUGGGGGUCCCAGGCUCCGCAGCUUCCCAGGGCUCUUCCUCCCUGAGGAGUCAGAUCCAGUCCCAGGAUUCCAGACUUUAUCCAGAGGCAGGUGUGGACUUGGAGAACCUAACAUUUUCCUCAAAGCAGCCACAUUUCAAGUUGGAUUUUUACUUCAUGAAAGGAUUAAAAUAAAAUAAAAUAAAAUAAAAUAAAAUAGCUAUGUGAGUGAGCGCAAGGGCCUUUCUUGGAACACAGUCACUCCACUUGAAAAGUGCCACUUAGUGCAAGGCUGACUUGGAAAAUUUGGGUAUUGGUGAAAAACAUGUGAGGGCAGCAGAGCCCUGUGAUCUGUCACUGCUCUCACCUCCAGAGGUGAACCCAUUGCCAGCCUCACCAGCUGCAGGGCAAUGUGGCAGAGAGUAGGUUUAUACUGGCUCAUGGGAAGGAAUUGUUCCCUGUGAGGGUGAGGAGGCCCUGGCACAGGGUGACCAGACAAGCUGUGGCUGUCCCUGGACCCCUGGAAAUGCCCAUGGCCAGGUUGGACAGGGCUUGGAGCACCCUGGGAUAAUGGAAGAUGUCUCUGUCAUGGCAGGGGGUGGGAAUGAGAUGGGCU